rnacentral:rRNA from 1 species
GAUGAACUCUAGCUACAGGCUUAACACAUGCAAGUCGAGGGGCAGCAUGAACUUAGCUUGCUAAGUUUGAUGGCGACCGGCGCACGGGUGAGUAACACGUAUCCAACCUGCCGAUGACUCGGGGAUAGCCUUUCAAAAGAAAGAUUAAUACCCGAUGGCAUAGUUCUUCCGCAUGGUAGAACUAUUAAAGAAUUUCGGUCAUCGAUGGGGAUGCGCUCCAUUAGGUUGUUGGCGGGGUAACGGCCCACCAAGCCUUCGAUGGAUAGGGGUUCUGAGAGGAAGGUCCCCCACAUUGGAACUGAGACACGGUCCAAACUCCUACGGGAGGCAGCAGUGAGGAAUAUUGGUCAAUGGACGAGAGUCUGAACCAGCCAAGUAGCGUGAAGGAUGACUGCCCUAUGGGUUGUAAACUUCUUUUAUACGGGAAUAAAGUGAGGCACGUGUGCCUUUUUGUACGUACCGUAUGAAUAAGGAUCGGCUAACUCCGUGCCAGCAGCCGCGGUAAUACGGAGGAUCCGAGCGUUAUCCGGAUUUAUUGGGUUUAAAGGGAGCGUAGGCGGACGCUUAAGUCAGUUGUGAAAGUUUGCGGCUCAACCAUAAAAUUGCAGUUGAUACUGGGUGUCUUGAGUACAGUAGAGGCAGGCGGAAUUCGUGGUGUAGCGGUGAAAUGCUUAGAUAUCACGAAGAACUCCGAUUGCGAAGGCAGCUUGCUGGACUGUAACUGACGCUGAUGCUCGAAAGUGUGGGUAUCAAACAGGAUUAGAUACCCUGGUAGUCCACACAGUAAACGAUGAAUACUCGCUGUUUGCGAUAUACAGUAAGCGGCCAAGCGAAAGCGUUAAGUAUUCCACCUGGGGAGUACGCCGGCAACGGUGAAACUCAAAGGAAUUGACGGGGGCCCGCACAAGCGGAGGAACAUGUGGUUUAAUUCGAUGAUACGCGAGGAACCUUACCCGGGCUUGAAUUGCAACUGAAUGAUGUGGAGACAUGUCAGCCGCAAGGCAGUUGUGAAGGUGCUGCAUGGUUGUCGUCAGCUCGUGCCGUGAGGUGUCGGCUUAAGUGCCAUAACGAGCGCAACCCUUAUCGAUAGUUACCAUCAGGUUAUGCUGGGGACUCUGUCGAGACUGCCGUCGUAAGAUGUGAGGAAGGUGGGGAUGACGUCAAAUCAGCACGGCCCUUACGUCCGGGGCUACACACGUGUUACAAUGGGGGGUACAGAAGGCAGCUACACGGCGACGUGAUGCUAAUCCCUAAAGCCUCUCUCAGUUCGGAUUGGAGUCUGCAACCCGACUCCAUGAAGCUGGAUUCGCUAGUAAUCGCGCAUCAGCCACGGCGUGGUGAAUACGUUCCCGGGCCUUGCACA